UACGUGAGGGUGCAAGCGUUGUCCGGAAUUAUUGGGCGUAAAGAGCUCGUAGGCGGUCUGUCGCGUCGGCUGUGAAAACCCGAGGCUCAACCUCGGGCCUGCAGUCGAUACGGGCAGACUAGAGUUCGGCAGGGGAGACUGGAAUUCCUGGUGUAGCGGUGAAAUGCGUAGAGAUCGGGAGGAACACCAGUGGCGAAGGCGGCUACCUGGACCAGCACUGACACUGAGGCACGGAAAGCGUGGGGAGCAAACAGG
rnacentral:rRNA from 1 species